rnacentral:misc_RNA from 1 species
GAUGAAGAACGCAGCGAAAUGCGAUAAGUAAUGUGAAUUGCAGAAUUCAGUGAAUCAUCGAAUCUUUGAACGCACCUUGCGCCCGCCAGUAUUCUGGCGGGCAUGCCUGUUCGAGCGUCAUUUCAACCAUCAAGCCCCGGGCUUGUGUUGGGGAUCUGCGGCUGCCCGCAGGCCCUGAAAACCAGUGGCGGGCUCGCUGUCACUCCGAGCGUAGUAGCACUCGUAUCUCGCUCAGGGCGUGCCGCGGGCUCCGGUCGUUAAACCGCCUCUUUAGCACCCAAAGGUUGACCUCGGAUCAGGUAGGAGGACCCGCUGAACUUAAGCAUAUCAAUAAGCGGAGGA